GAGUUUGAUCCUGGCUCAGAACGAACGCUGGCGGCGUGCUUAACACAUGCAAGUCGAACGUGAUUGAGAGCUUGCUCUCAUGAAAGUGGCGCACGGGUGAGUAACACGUGGAUAAUCUGCCUGGCGAUUCGGGAUAACACUUCGAAAGGGGUGCUAAUACCGGAUAAGCCCACGGAGUCUUUGGACUUUGCGGGAAAAGGGGGGGACCUUCGGGCCUUCUGUCAUCARAUGAGUCUGCGUACCAUUAGCUAGUUGGUAGGGUAAAGGCCUACCAAGGCUACGAUGGUUAGCUGGUCUGAGAGGAUGAUCAGCCACACUGGAACUGAGACACGGUCCAGACUCCUACGGGAGGCAGCAGUGGGGAAUUUUGCGCAAUGGGGGAAACCCUGACGCAGCAACGCCGCGUGAGUGAUGAAGGCUUUCGGGUCGUAAAGCUCUGUCAGAGGGGAAGAAAUGAGACUGGCUAAUAUCCAGUUUUCUUGACGGUACCCUCAAAGGAAGCACCGGCUAACUCCGUGCCAGCAGCCGCGGUAAUAC
rnacentral:rRNA from 1 species